UACGUAGGGAGCGAGCGUUGUCCGGAAUUACUGGGCGUAAAGGGUGCGUAGGCGGAGAUAUAAGUCAGAUGUGAAAGGCCGGGGCUCAACCCCGGAGCUGCAUUUGAAACUAUAUUUCUUGAGUGCAGGAGAGGCAAGUGGAAUUCCUAGUGUAGCGGUGAAAUGCGUAGAUAUUAGGAGGAACACCAGUGGCGAAGGCGACUUGCUGGACUGUAACUGACGCUGAGGCA
rnacentral:rRNA from 1 species